CUAAUGGCUAAUGAUGUUGAACUGUUUUUAUUUAUUUAUUUGCUCUCUGUUUAUUCUUUUUGACACAACGUCCCUUCAUGUCUAUCACCCAUUUUCUAAUUGAAAUAUUUUGUUUUUUUACUAUUAAAAUUUCAGAGUUCUUUAUGCAUUCCAGAUAUGAAUCUUCUGCUGGCUGUGUAAUUUGGAGCUUCAAGACAGGUCGGAUAAUGGUAAGUGGCAUCUUCUGAGGAACUUCUAUCCCCAUCCAGGGACUGCCAGCCUGCUGACUUUUACAAGUUCUUGGUUGUGUGGCAAAUGGCUUUCAAGGUUGGCACGGCGCUUAAGAGAGGAGAACGGGAGUAGGCCAACGUGAAGCCACUAACCAUUCUAAUCCUUAUAAGAUG
rnacentral:lncRNA from 13 species